rnacentral:tRNA from 1 species
GCGAGAGUGGCGAAAUUGGCAGACGCGCUGGAUUUAGGAUCCUGUGCCUUCGGGCGUGGGGGUUCAACUCCCCCCUCUCGCA